rnacentral:lncRNA from 1 species
CUGAAGUGAAGUAGACGUCACCAUUGCAUCGCCGUCGUCAUCAUAUCAGCUUCACCUUCACCAUCACAACAGUCAGUAUUCAGCAGUCACCAGUGUUUCCAGAACCAAUGUAACUGGAUGGCAAACAGAUGCCGGUUAUCAUAUGGGCAUUCAUUUCAUUUUUAUACGCCUGAUUCGUCUAUGCAGGGCAGUAUGGUUUUAUUUUCUCUCUCUGUUUUCUAUGUAUUCAAGACUAUUUGAAACGUACAUGCACAACCAUGAUUGUUUCAAUCAGUCUUAUUUCCCUUCUUCUCUUCUGAAAUGAAACGAACAUGGGUAACCAUGUUUGUUUCAGUCAGUUUUAUUUCUCACAUUCUCUUCUGAAAUGAAACGAACAUGGGUAACCAUGUUUGUUUCAGUCACUUAUAUCACAUAUUGUCUUCUGAAAUGAAAUGAACAUGGGUAACCAUGUUUGUUUCAGUCAGUUUUAUGUGACAUAUUCCCUUCUGAAAUGAAACGAACAUGGGUAACCAUGUUUGUUUCAGUCAGAUUUGUUUCCCUUGUUCACUUGUGAACUAAAACAAAUAUGGUUUCCCAUGUUUGUUUCAGUGAACAAAAUGUUUAAAAUUUCCUAUUAUUUGCAUAGGAACACUGGGGGGGGGGAAUUAUUCUCACCUAAUCGAACGAUGGAAACUUCAGUAGCAUGUGCUUCAACGAGAAUUGAUUGCUACCAACCGCAAAGGAUAUCGCAUUCGAUAGAACAAAGUAAUGCAUUCGAUUGGUCAGCCGACGUUUAAUCCUUCGCUUUACAAUUCAUGGCCGGCCCAUGACAGUACGAGUAACAGGAUGGUGGAGAAGGAAAGAUGUUCAGGGUUGUUGAUUUGCGUGGUUGGGAUAAUGAAUCUGGCCGCAGCAUCCCGAUAGAGCGAUUGCAAAAAGCAGCGGAAAGACUUGCCUGCAAGUUGCCUCUCAUCAGGGCCACACGUUCAGUGUGACUGUCUGUCUUGGAUUUAGCAUGAUGAUUAUGUCUAGUUAUACUGGAUAUAUUGUUUGUGCCUUUAAAACGUUUGCAAAAAAGAAUGUUCUUAGAUCUGACACCAUGUGUUACUGCAUUGAUUAAAGAUCCUUGAAUAACUCA